rnacentral:rRNA from 1 species
CACGUAGGCACCAAGCGUUGUCCGGAUUUAUUGGGCGUAAAGAGCUCGUAGGCGGUUUGUUGCGUCGGCUGUGAAAUCCCGAGGCUCAACCUCGGGUCUGCAGUCGAUACGAGCAAACUAGAGUGUUGCAGGGGAGACUGGAAUUCCUGGUGUAGCGGUGAAAUGCGCAGAUAUCAGGAGGAACACCGGUGGCGAAGGCGGCCUGCUGGGCUGUUGCUGACGCUGAGGCGCGACAGCGUGGGGAGCAAACAGG